rnacentral:lncRNA from 1 species
UAAAGCCCCAAAUUCCAGCAACUUGAUUUUUCCCAAAAUUCCAGCAACCUAAAACAGUCAGUUUUGACAAGAAGAAUUCGACAAGAUUAAUUGGAAAAGAUAAGUUUAGUCGAAUUUGGCUACCAAGAAUGAGUACCGAUCGAUCUUUUUGAGUAAUAAAGAUGGCUGGAAAUUCACAAGAAGAAUAAACAAGUUAGAUCAAAAGAAUCGGCAUAAACAAAAUUUAAAAGAAAAGAAUGAACAGCAAGAAAGUAAAUUGAAGUCCUAAAGAUCCUUGAAAUCCCGAAAGAUUUCACAAAUCUCUUCAAACGGCUCUAAUCUCCCCUCCA